AGUGAACGCUGGCGGCAGGCCUAACACAUGCAAGUCGAACGGCAGCACAGCAGUAGCAAUACUGUGGGUGGCGAGUGGCGGACGGGUGAGGAAUACAUCGGAAUCUGCCUAGUCGUGGGGGAUAACGUAGGGAAACUUACGCUAAUACCGCAUACGACCUACGGGUGAAAGCGGGGGAUCGCAAGACCUCGCGCGAUUAGAUGAGCCGAUGUCCGAUUAGCUAGUUGGCGGGGUAAUGGCCCACCAAGGCGACGAUCGGUAGCUGGUCUGAGAGGAUGAUCAGCCACACUGGAACUGAGACACGGUCCAGACUCCUACGGGAGGCAGCAGUGGGGAAUAUUGGACAAUGGGCGCAAGCCUGAUCCAGCCAUGCCGCGUGGGUGAAGAAGGCCUCGGUUGUAAG
rnacentral:rRNA from 1 species